rnacentral:misc_RNA from 1 species
GUAUUUUUGUUUCUUUCUGCCCUUUCGAGCAUACUAGAAGGUAGACAUUCUAAUGACAUACAUUGGGGUGUGUAAAAACAUAAGGCCCUUGCGAGCCCUACUUGAAGUGCACAGGUGUAAAUGGAUGAUCGGGACAGACGUGCACUUGCCCCGAAGGACCAGCACUAUCCAAUCCCUCACGAAGUUCGUUAAUGAUCCUUCCGCAGGUUCACCUACGGAAA